AUUGAACGCUGGCGGCAUGCCUUACACAUGCAAGUCGAACGGCAGCACGGGAGCAAUCCUGGUGGCGAGUGGCGAACGGGUGAGUAAUAUAUCGGAACGUGCCCAGUCGUGGGGGAUAACGCAGCGAAAGCUGUGCUAAUACCGCAUACGAUCUACGGAUGAAAGCGGGGGAUCGCAAGACCUCGCGCGAUUGGAGCGGCCGAUAUCAGAUUAGCUAGUUGGUGGGGUAAAAGCCCACCAAGGCGACGAUCUGUAGCUGGUCUGAGAGGACGGCCAGCCACACUGGAACUGAGACACGGUCCAGACGCCAACGGGGGGCAGCAGUGAGGAAUUUUGGACAAUGGGCGCAAGCCUGAUCCAGCAAUGCCGCGUGCAGGAUGAAGGCCUUCGGGUUGUAAACUGCUUUUGUACGGAACGAAACGGCUCUUUCUAAUAAAGAGGGCUAAUGACGGUACCGUAAGAAUAAGCACCGGCUAACUACGUGCCAGCCGCCGCGGUAA
rnacentral:rRNA from 1 species